GAUUCCUCUCGGAGUCUCGAAAUAGAAAAAUAGAUCAAGGAGUGUUUAUUUACUCUAUUAGCCAUGAGUGGGCGUGCAGUAGUCGUGAAGCUCUUCUGUGCAGUUGUAAUGGGGGGUAUAUUAAUAUUGGUGGUUGAUAUUCCUAGUGCGGAAGCGGCUUUGCAAUGUAAGGAGGUGGAAACGCAACUACGCUCGUGUCUGCCCUACCUGACACAAAAUGGUCGUCUGACCGGCGACUGUUGCAAGGCCGUGAAAUUGAUAAGCGUAAGUGUGAAGACAGUGCAGGACCGUCGAGCAACAUGUAAAUGCAUACUGGAUGCCUACAAAGAAUCUAUAACUAGGCAUGGCUUUUCAUAUAAUCUCAACAGGGCAGCUCAACUUCCUACAAGCUGCGGGGUCACCAUUCCUAAUAUCUCCAUCAAACCCUCCAUCGUCUGCUCUACGUUGCGAAAUUAAUUGAUGAUGGAGGGCAUGGCAAUGUCUACCUAAAGAAAUAAAAGGCGCUCUGGUGAGAUCCACACGGAAACAAAGUCUGAAAUUCACAUAUAUAGAGCGAGGAGAUAAGGAAGGCGAAUGGGUCGGUUGGCCACAUUAAUUCAUUUUGUAAUUUGACUACUUGAAUGUAUCAAACUUUCAAUACAUAGCU